GCCUAGUUAGCUUAGUUGGUAGCGCGUCUGCCUUGUAAGCGCUAGGCCGCGGGUUCGAUCCCCGCCCGGGGC
rnacentral:tRNA from 1 species